CGGACGGGUGAGUAACACGUGGAUAACCUACCUAUAAGACUGGGAUAACUUCGGGAAACCGGAGCUAAUACCGGAUAAUAUAUUGAACCGCAUGGUUCAAUAGUGAAAGACGGUUUUGCUGUCACUUAUAGAUGGAUCCGCGCCGCAUUAGCUAGUUGGCAAGGUAACGGCUUACCAAGGCAACGAUGCGUAGCCGACCUGAGAGGGUGAUCGGCCACACUGGAACUGAGACACGGUCCAG
rnacentral:rRNA from 1 species